UUCAGAUUGUUUUAAGUGGUAAUUUAACAAUAUUUUUCCAAAUAAAUGGAAAGAAACUUUUAUUUAUAUCAAAUAAUUGAGUGUCUUGACUCAGUGACAUUAUGUCUUGUGUGGUAUGGGGCUGCAGCUCACAUCCAGGAAGAAAAGAAAAUAGCCAACAACUUCUGUCGUUUCAUCGAUUUCCUGUAGACGAUAACAAAAAGAAAGAAUGGAUAAUUCGCAUUAAUAGACGAAAUUGGAUUCCAAAUAAGUACAGCCGUAUUUGCUCCAAACAUUUUACUGCGGAUUCAUUUAUGUGUGUUCCUAAUUCGAAGUGGAGACGUCUUCGAGACGAUGCUAUUCCUACAUUGAACAUUAAGGAUCAGACAGAUGAAAUGAAUCCUGUAACUAAGGAACCUUUUGAAAAGCAAUCACAACGAUACUAGCUGCAGCUCCUAACUAAUAUAAACCAGACAAUAUAAUCCAAAAAUGGUUAGAUACUUACCUAUC